UGAUUGAAAGCUGUAGAAAUAGCGUUUGAUUGUUGAUCAAAAUUUAGUAUAUUAUUACUCAGUCAG
rnacentral:tRNA from 1 species